rnacentral:rRNA from 1 species
UCAAGCGAAUAAGUGCAUGUGGUGGAUGCCUUGGCGAUCACAGGCGAUGAAGGACGUAGUAGCUUGCGAAAAGCUGCGGGGAGCUGGCAAACGAGCUUUGAUCCGCAGAUGUCCGAAUGGGGAAACCCGGCCCGUAUGGGUCAUCCCUUGCUGAAUACAUAGGCAAGGGAGGCGAACGCAGUGAACUGAAACAUCUAAGUAGCUGCAGGAAAAGAAAUCAACCGAGAUUCCCAAAGUAGUGGCGAGCGAAAUGGGAACAGCCUUGUACUCUUUAGCAGUAUUGUUAGCGGAACGGAAUGGAAAGUCCGGCCAUAGUGGGUGAUAGCCCCGUACGCGAAAACAGUAUUGUGGAACUAGGUGUACGACAAGUAGGGCGGGACACGUGAAAUCCUGUCUGAAGAUGGGGGGACCAUCCUCCAAGGCUAAAUACUCGUGAUCGACCGAUAGUGAACCAGUACCGUGAGGGAAAGGCGAAAAGAACCCCGGGAGGGGAGUGAAAUAGAUCCUGAAACCGCAUGCAUACAAACAGUCGGAGCCUGGAAACGGGUGACGGCGUACCUUUUGUAUAAUGGGUCAGCGACUUACAUUCAGUGGCAAGCUUAACCGAUUAGGGAAGGCGUAGCGAAAGCGAGUCCGAAUAGGGCGUUCAGUCGCUGGGUGUAGACCCGAAACCAAGUGAUCUAUCCAUGGCCAGGUUGAAGGUGCGGUAACACGUACUGGAGGACCGAACCCACUAACGUUGAAAAGUUAGGGGAUGAGCUGUGGAUAGGGGUGAAAGGCUAAACAAACUUGGAAAUAGCUGGUUCUCUCCGAAAACUAUUUAGGUAGUGCCUCGUGUCUCACCUUCGGGGGUAGAGCACUGUCAUGGUUGGGGGGUCUAUUGCUGAUUACCCCGCCAUAGCAAACUCCGAAUACCGAAGAGUGCAAUCACGGGAGACAGACAUCGGGUGCUAACGUCCGGUGUCAAGAGGGAAACAACCCAGACCGCCAGCUAAGGUCCCUAAGAUUGGCUAAGUGGGAAACGAAGUGGGAAGGCUAAAACAGUCAGGAGGUUGGCUUAGAAGCAGCCACCCUUUAAAGAAAGCGUAAUAGCUCACUGAUCGAGUCGUCCUGCGCGGAAGAUGUAACGGGGCUAAGCCAGUCACCGAAGCUGCGGAUGCACGUAAGUGCAUGGUAGGAGAGCGUUCUGUAAGCCUGUGAAGGUGUCUUGUAAAGGAUGCUGGAGGUAUCAGAAGUGCGAAUGCUGACAUGAGUAGCGAUAAAGGGGGUGAAAGGCCCCCUCGCCGUAAGCCCAAGGUUUCCUACGCAACGUUCAUCGGCGUAGGGUGAGUCGGCCCCUAAGGCGAGGCAGAGAUGCGUAGCUGAUGGGAAGCAGGUUAAUAUUCCUGCACCGUCGUAUGAUGCGAUGGGGGGACGGAUCGCGGAAGGUUGUCCGGGUGUUGGAAGUCCCGGUCCCUACAUUGGAGAUGGCACUUAGGCAAAUCCGGGUGCGUGAUUCAAGGGUGUGGGGCGAGCGACGUUAGGUCGCGAAGCAAUUGGAAGUGGUUCCAAGAAAAGCCUCUAAGCUUCAGUCAUACGAGACCGUACCGCAAACCGACACAGGUGGGCGAGAUGAGUAUUCUAAGGCGCUUGAGAGAACUCGGGAGAAGGAACUCGGCAAAUUGGUACCGUAACUUCGGGAUAAGGUACGCCCUUGUAGUUUGACUGGCUCGCGCCAGAAGGAUGAAGGGGUUGCAAUAAAAUGGUGGCUGCGACUGUUUAAUAAAAACACAGCACUCUGCAAACACGAAAGUGGACGUAUAGGGUGUGACGCCUGCCCGGUGCCGGAAGAUUAAAUGAUGGGGUGCAAGCUCUUGAUUGAAGUCCCGGUAAACGGCGGCCGUAACUAUAACGGUCCUAAGGUAGCGAAAUUCCUUGUCGGGUAAGUUCCGACCUGCACGAAUGGCGUAACGAUGGCCACACUGUCUCCUCCCGAGACUCAGCGAAGUUGAAGUGUUUGUGAUGAUGCAAUCUCCUCGCGGCUAGACGGAAAGACCCCAUGAACCUUUACUGUAGCUUUGCAUUGGACUUUGAACCGAUCUGUGUAGGAUAGGUGGGAGGCUUUGAAACCGGGACGCUAGUUUCGGUGGAGCCGACCUUGAAAUACCACCCUGGUUUGUUUGAGGUUCUAACCUUGGCCCGUGAAUCCGGGUCGGGGACAGUGCAUGGUAGGCAGUUUGACUGGGGCGGUCUCCUCCCAAAGUGUAACGGAGGAGUUCGAAGGUACGCUUGGUACGGUCGGACAUCGUACCUAAAGUGCAAUGGCAAAAGCGUGCUUAACUGCGAGACCGACAAGUCGAGCAGGUGCGAAAGCAGGACAUAGUGAUCCGGUGGUUCUGUAUGGAAGGGCCAUCGCUCAACGGAUAAAAGGUACUCUGGGGAUAACAGGCUGAUACCGCCCAAGAGUUCAUAUCGACGGCGGUGUUUGGCACCUCGAUGUCGGCUCAUCUCAUCCUGGGGCUGUAGCCGGUCCCAAGGGUAUGGCUGUUCGCCAUUUAAAGAGGUACGUGAGCUGGGUUUAAAACGUCGUGAGACAGUUUGGUCCCUAUCUGCCGUGGGCGUUGGAAUCUUGACGGGGGCUGCUCCUAGUACGAGAGGACCGGAGUGGACGUACCGCUGGUGUACCUGUUGUCUCGCCAGAGGCAUCGCAGGGUAGCUAUGUACGGAAGAGAUAACCGCUGAAAGCAUCUAAGCGGGAAACUCGCCUGAAGAUGAGGAUUCCCUGGAGACUUGAUCUCCCUGAAGGGUCGUUCGAGACCAGGACGUUGAUAGGCUGGGUGUGGAAGCGCAGUAAUGCGUUCAGCUAACCAGUACUAAUUGCCCGUGCGGCUUGAUCC